rnacentral:misc_RNA from 1 species
GAUGAAGAACGCAGCGAAAUGCGAUAAGUAAUGUGAAUUGCAGAAUUCAGUGAAUCAUCGAAUCUUUGAAGGCACAUUGCGCCCGCCAGUAUUCUGGCGGGCAUGCCUGUCCGAGCGUCAUUUCAACCAUCAAGCCCCGGGCUUGUGUUGGGGACCUGCGUCCGACGCAGGCCCUGAAAACCAGUGGCGGGCUCGCUGUCCACACCGAGCGUAGUAACUAACCUCGCUAUGGAGUGGCGCGGGCGCCUGCCGUAAAACCCCCAAUUUCACAAGGUUGACCUCGGAUCAGGUAGGAAUACCCGCUGAACUUAAGCAUAUCAAUAAGCGGAGGA